AUACGGAGGGGGCAAGCGUUGUUCGGAAUUACUGGGCGUAAAGGGCGCGUAGGCGGAUUGUCAAGUCAGAGGUGAAAGCCCUGGGCUCAACCUGGGAACUGCCUUUGAAACUAACAGUCUAGAGUCCGAGAGAGGAUGGCGGAAUUCCCAGUGUAGAGGUGAAAUUCGUAGAUAUUGGGAAGAACACCAGUGGCGAAGGCGACUGCCUGGCCCGGUACUGACGCUGAGGCGCGAAAGCGUGGGGAGCAAACAGGAUUAGAUACCCCAGUAGUCC
rnacentral:rRNA from 1 species